rnacentral:rRNA from 1 species
GCCGCGCGAACGCGUACCCCCUCUACCACAAAUUAUGACGUUCACUCUCCCACUUGAGGAGAUGAUGGGCCAACGCGCCCACCAAGUGCAAUGUGGGCCAUUGACCCAGGCCACUGGCCUUCCUGA